GUGAAAUAGAGGAGAUGACAUGAAUGAGGGACUACAUUGGAAUGAAGAAGAACCUGGAGGAGGUAAAAAAACUGAAGGCUCUGGAUGUUGGACGAUGGAAAAUAAAAACAAAAAGCAAGUGAAACUCCCUGACUUAUCAACCUUACUCAAGAAAUGGGAAUUUCUGCCCUAGAGAGGUCUUGGAAACUUUCUCACCAGAAGGGCACAACUUGAUGGCAGGAAGCUCCUGAUGGAGGCCUGAAAAUGGCCCUGAAAGGGAUGCCAGGGGACCAGGGCUCCACUAUUAUCAGCGUGUGACUUUGGACAAGGAUGUUAAUGGCUCUGUGACUCAGUUACCUCUUCUGUACUUUGCUUAGGGGUCUAUUGCUUUCCAUUUUGUCUUUUUCAUUUGUUAAACCCAAUGAUGUCACUGACAGUAAAAACUAGUAAAUAGUAAAAAAAAAAAAAAAUAAAAAAAAAAAAUAAAACCAUGGCUUCUCUUUUGGAGAUGGCAUCCCCAUGCUGCCUAUCUUUUCUUACACUUACUCACAAGUAUUUUUGAUGUACUUAUAACUCAGGAAAUACCUUCCGAGGCAAAAAUGUGUGUGGAUCAGUAGAGAUAGCAGCAGCAGUAGCUGCCAAGUGCCCUGAUGGCCUGGAGUCAGAUGGCUACAUUGCACUCAGUUCUCCCAUCUUCCAUAGAUACUGGAUGUUAUCCUUCAAUGUUUGCCUUGAGCCAGAUGGAGAGGAAAGAGGCAGAGUUAACUUGUCUUUCUAUUUUCAUUCUCCCAAAUACAACUGAUUUUUUACCCUACUCCUGGAUACCUUUCUUAUAUCACAACUCUGAUGAUGUAACUUUUCUCAACCAAACUUUCAGGGGACCCUCUAUGAUCUCAGAAUGAAACCCCAACUGUGUUGUAUACAUUUAACAUGCAUUCUACUUUCCUUCCUUCCUUACAUUUUAGCUUUGUGGAAUUCCUUGGCUUUCAAUGUGGAAGAAAGUUUGUGGUCCUUGCCCCACCUCCCCUCCCCAAGUUUGCAAGAAGAGGGGGUUAGAAUUGUGGCUUUCUUUAAUUUGAUCCAAUGCUCCUUCCCCUGCAACUUCUGCUUCCAUACAAUUAAUAACUAUUUUCGAAUCAAUGAAAUAACAAUCAUUCUUUAAUGCCUCAGUAUAAACUAUCUUAUUAAAAGUUAUGCAGCCUGGUCCAAAAAUGGCACAGGACAGAGGAUGGGGCCAGAAUCUUUGCCAGGGCACUGCCAAGAAGGGCAUGAUCAGUGGAGACACUUGAGUGGAUGGAUGCUGUGUGUCCCAGAAUAUACAUGGAGUUGAGGUACAGGCAUGGCAUUGAAUAUGAGUAGAGCAGUGCAGAAAGAAAGAAAGGAGCAAACUUUAGAAGCCUCACAAGUUUUCCUAGAGUCAUCCCUGUGAGCUUCACAAUCUAGCUGUCCUUAAGGAAUGUUUCUUUUAUGUGGAGCACUGCACACCUAAGACAUUUUUAAUGUUUUGCUCUGCCAAGUGCAGCUAUAAGAAGGAAUUUCCAGGUAGAGAAACAGAAGAAUUGGAGAAAAUUCUUAGAAUCGUGCGUAUAAGGCAAUUCCGUUGCAGCAUCAUCUGCUGUGGUCCUUUGAGAAAACUAAGUGUUUAUUUCCAUGAUUUAAAAUCAAGUCAGUCUUUAUCUAGGGUUUGGGAAGGCUUACAUUGGCUCAGGACCAAAAUGAAGAUAGGACUAGAACUUUCCCAAGAAUGUAUGAAUAAAUGUAUGUGUGAGUUUCAAGUUGCACUGGCAACACUUUGGAGAAGUUAGCUCUUCAGAAUCAUGAGGAUUGUUUAAGCUCUCAUCCCAUUGGCUGGCUGUGUGGAAGUUACCCGUUGUAUGGAAGGUGACCCUGACUAGACCUUGUACAGUCCCUUAAGAUAGAUUAAUAGUGAAGUCCUCUAACAUGUUUUCUGAACCUGUCAAUGAAAGAAGAGAGAGAUGCCUACCAGUGCGGAGGAAAGGAGUGGAUAUAUGUUAAGUCUUUGUUAUUUCUGUCAUGCAGAUGACUCAGGUAUAAAAACUAGAAAUUCUUCCUAAUGUGGAUUAGGGAACUCAGGCUUCACAGUAUAAGCCAAACAAAAAAAAGUUUCAUCACCAACAAACUGUCCUACCAGUUGGUGGCACCGUUAUCCACAUCCUUUGUUCCCCAAGGCAAUACUGAUAAUAAGGCUACAUUCAGUGACAUUUAGUGAAACUGACUGCUUUGAGGGCUCCUUAUAAACUGUUGCACCAGAAGUACAUCUCUUUUGGUUUAUUUUUAGGUUAUGAUAAUAGGUGCAAGGCUUUACAGCUAAAGGAUUCCUCUCUUAUAUAGUUAUUUCCAGUAGUAUGAAUAAUAGAUAUUCUGGUGGUAAUAGUACUGGUAGCAAAAACUACUCUUCUGCUGCUAGGAUUCUAUGAAUCCUACUACUUUUACUUCAGCUACUCCUAUUAUUGUUAUAUCACUAAUUGUGCAGAUUUUGUGUCAGGGCUUUUGAUACACGAUGUUUAACACUUAUAGUCAUUCUGUGAGGUGUGUAAUAUUAUUCUUACUUUAUAGAAGAGGAAACUGAAGUUCAGAAAGAUUGAUGUAUCCACACAAAUAAAUUGCUGACUUG